AGGACGAACGCUUGCGACGUGCCUAAGAAAUGCAAGUCGAACGGAUCAGCAGCAAUGCUGGUUAGUGGCGAACGGUCGCGUAACACGUGGGCAACCUGCCCUGAAGCGGGGGACAACAAGCCGAAAGGUUUGCUAAUACCGCAUGUGGAUCGCCUCGGCAUCGAGGAUUAUCCAAAGCAGCAAUGCACUUCAGGAUGGGCCCCGCGGCCUAUCAGCUAGUUGGAGGGGUAACGGCCCACCAAGGCUUCGACGGGUAGCUGGUCUGAGAGGACGAUCAGCCGGAUUGGGACUGAGAUACGGCCCAGACUCCUACGGGGGGCAGCAAUUAGGAAUCUUGCACAAUGGGCGAAAGCCUGAUGCAGCGACGUCGCGUGGGGGAUGAAAUCUUUCGGGAUGUAAACCCCUUUGUCAGGGAAGAACAAUGACGGUACCUGACGAAUAAGCCCCGGCUAACUACGUGCCAGCAGCCGCGGUAA
rnacentral:rRNA from 1 species